UAAUAUAACAGACUGCUUGAGUACUGAACAAAGCAUACACCGUAGUGAGGCUUAGCCAUUGCACUUCGACUGGGUUGACCUUUGCGAAUAUUCCUAAUGCGAAUAACUCGUGGGUGUAAUUUUUGGUAAUCGGGAAUGGCGUUCGUGCCAAUUCGAC